UACGUAGGGGGCAAGCGUUGUCCGGAAUCAUUGGGCGUAAAGCGCGCGUAGGCGGCCCGGUAAGUCCGCUCUGAAAGUCCAGGGCUCAACCCUGGAAAGCGGGUGGAUACUGCCGGGCUCGAAUCCGGAAGAGGCGACUGGAAUUUACGGUGUAGCGGUGAAAUGCGUAGAUAUCGUAAGGAAGACCAGUGGCGAAGGCGGGUCUCUGGACAGUUCCUGACGCUGAGGCACGAAGGUCAGGGGAGCAAACGGG
rnacentral:rRNA from 1 species